GCUUGUCUCAAAGAUUAAGCCAUGCAUGUCUAAGUAUAAAUAGUAUACAGUGAAACUGCGAAUGGCUCAUUAAAUCAGUUAUAAUUUAUUUGAUAGUGAAAUUGUACAUGGAUAACCGUGGCAAUUCUAGGGCUAAUACAUGCGUCAAUGGUCGGUCGACCAGUAUUUAUUAGAUACAAAGCCAGCCGUCAGGAUCAGGUGAAUCAUGAUAACCAAACGAAUCGCAAGCGCAAGCGGCGAUGGUUCAUUCAAAUUUCUGCCCUAUCAACUUUCGAUGGUAGGAUAGUGGCCUACCAUGGUGGCAACGGGUAACGGGGAAUUAGGGUUCGAUUCCGGAGAGGGAGCCUGAGAAACGGCUACCACAUCCAAGGAAGGCAGCAGG
rnacentral:rRNA from 1 species